AUGAGUCGGCUUUGACCAAUUUGACAUUGGCCAAACGACUCAUCAAGGUAGCUCUUCUCCCGACUGAUAGGGAGAAUAGGAAAGAUCGGACAGUCUCUGAGAUAUUUUUUUUUAUCCAAUGAUUCUUGGAGUAAGUUGAUGAUACUUCUUCUUCUUUCUUUUCUUUUUUUGACUUGACUUGUUCUUUCUUUUCAUCUGGCACAC
rnacentral:lncRNA from 1 species